GAUGAACGCUGGCGGCGUGCCUAAUACAUGCAAGUCGAGCGAACAGACGAGGAGCUUGCUCCUCUGACGUUAGCGGCGGACGGGUGAGUAACACGUGGAUAACCUACCUAUAAGACUGGGAUAACUUCGGGAAACCGGAGCUAAUACCGGAUAAUAUAUUGAACCGCAUGGUUCAAUAGUGAAAGACGGUUUUGCUGUCACUUAUAGAUGGAUCCGCGCCGCAUUAGCUAGUUGGUAAGGUAACGGCUUACCAAGGCAACGAUGCGUAGCCGACCUGAGAGGGUGAUCGGCCACACUGGAGCUGAGACACGGUCCAGACUCCUACGGGAGGCAGCAGUAGGGAAUCUUCCGCAAAGGGCGAAAGCUUGACGGAGCAACGCCGCGUGAGUGAUGAAGGUCUUCGGAUCGUAAAACUCUGUUAUUAGGGAAGAACAAAUGUGUAAGUAACUAUGCACGUCUUGACGGUACCUAAUCAGAAAGCCACGGCUAACUACGUG
rnacentral:rRNA from 1 species